AGCUGGAAUCGCUAGUAAUCGCGAAUCAGAAUGUCGCGGUGAAUACGUUCCCGGGUCUUGUACACACCGCCCGUCACACCAUGGGAGUCGGGAAUGCCCGAAGUCAGUGACCCAACCUUUGGAGGGAGCUGCCGAAGGCAGGUCUGAUAACUGGGGUGAAGUCGUAACAAGGUACC
rnacentral:rRNA from 1 species